UACAGAGGGUGCAAGCGUUACUCGGAAUUACUGGGCGUAAAGCGUGCGUAGACGGUAGCGUAAGUCGGGUGUGAAAGCCCCGGGCUCAACCUGGGAAUUGCAUUCGAGACUGCUCUGCUAGGGUGCGGAAGAGGGGAGCGGAAUUUCCGGUGUAGCGGUGAAAUGCGUAGAUAUCGGAAGGAACACCAGUGGCGAAAGCGGCUCCCUGGUCCAGCACCGACGUUCAGGCACGAAAGCGUGGGGAGCAAACAGG
rnacentral:rRNA from 1 species